rnacentral:sRNA from 1 species
AGUAGGAGCGGCGGCGGCGGCCCAAAGCGGAGUGAAGGAGGGAGGCAGGGAGCCGGGGAGCCGGAACCGGAGUCGCAGCGGCGGUAAUAGAGACCCCUGUGCGGUGCGGAGGGGGCGGCGGCCCCGACUCUGACCCGCGCCGGGGGUGGGCCAUGGCGGAGAUCAGCGACCUGGACCGGCAGAUCGAGCAGCUGCGUCGCUGCGAGCUCAUCAAGGAGAGCGAAGUCAAGGCCCUGUGCGCUAAGGCCAGAGAGAUCUUGGUAGAGGAGAGCAACGUGCAGAGGGUGGACUCGCCAGUCACAGUGUGCGGCGACAUCCAUGGACAAUUCUAUGACCUCAAAGAGCUGUUCAGAGUAGGUGGCGACGUCCCUGAGACCAACUACCUCUUCAUGGGGGACUUUGUGGACCGUGGCUUCUAUAGCGUCGAAACGUUCCUCCUGCUGCUGGCACUUAAGGUUCGCUAUCCUGACCGCAUCACGCUGAUCCGGGGCAACCAUGAGAGUCGCCAGAUCACGCAGGUCUACGGCUUCUACGAUGAGUGCCUGCGCAAGUACGGCUCGGUGACUGUGUGGCGCUACUGCACCGAGAUCUUCGACUACCUCAGCCUGUCAGCCAUCAUCGAUGGCAAGGUAGGCCAGCCCAGGGCUCCAUGGGACGGGGAGAGGAGGGGGGCUCCAGGCCUCAGCCCCGUCCUCUUUCCCUGCUCUCCCCUGUAGAUCUUCUGUGUGCACGGGGGCCUCUCCCCCUCCAUCCAGACCCUGGAUCAGAUUCGGACAAUCGACCGAAAGCAAGAGGUGCCUCAUGAUGGGCCCAUGUGUGACCUCCUCUGGUCUGACCCAGAAGGUGAGGGCAUGUGGGCAGGGGCAG